UGUUAGCAUAAGUCAAAGAGGUUUUCUUUUCUGUUCUACAGUAAUUUGAAGAUGUUAGAUUUUAAUAUAUUUCAGCAUAUGUUUUUCAUCAAAUGAAAUAAAAAGUUUUUCCUUUUUAUUAUCUAUUACAAGUCAAACUCUUUUAUAAAAAAAAAUACUUUAAAUUCAAGAAAUCAAGGAAAUUGAUUACCUUCUAGAUUAUUAAACCGCAAAUAUAAUUCCAGGAGUCGUGUUAGAUUUCCAAUACUUCUUGGAAUGAUCCCCGUCAAUUGAUUCAAGGACAAGGACAAAUUUUUAAGGUUGCUGCAUUUUCCCAUACUUGACGGAAUGUUACCAGAUAACUCGUUGCUAUGCAAGUAAAGCACUUCAAGCUUGGGAAGAUGUUGACACAUAUCAUUAGGCAAACUACCUGAUAGGCUAUUGUUGGAGAGAACAAUGGUCUUCAGAGCAGAAAUGUUGAAGAUCGAAGUUGGAAUCUGACCUGUAAGGCCUUUAAUUGCUUGAAUAUUAAGCAUUUCCAAACCAAGAAGAUUACCGAUUUCCUCAGGAAUUUGACCUGCACACAUGGUCGAAAAAUCAAGGUGUCAAACUACCUAUUUUGUUAGCAUAAGUCAAAGAGGUUUUCUUUUCUGUUCUACAGUAAUUUGAAGAUGUUAGAUUUUAAUAUAUUUCAGCAUAUGUUUUUCAUCAAAUGAAAUAAAAAGUUUUUCCUUUUUAUUAUCUAUUACAAGUCAAACUCUUUUAUAAAAAAAAUACUUUAAAUUCAAGAAAUCAAGGAAAUUGAUUACCUUCUAGAUUAUUAAACCCCAAAUAUAAUUCCAGGAGUCGUGUUAGAUUUCCAAUACUUCUUGGAAUGAUCCCCGUCAAUUGAUUCAAGGACAAGGACAAAUUUUUAAGGUUGCUGCAUUUUCCCAUACUUGACGGAAUGUUACUAGAUAACUCGUUGCUAUGCAAGUAAAGCACUUCAAGCUUGGGAAGAUGUUGACACAUAUCAUUAGGCAAACUAUCUGAUAGGCUAUUGUUGGAGAGAACAAUGGUCUUCAGAGCAGAAAUGUUGAAGAUCGAAGUUGGAAUCUGACCUGUAAGGCCUUUAAUUGCUUGAAUAUUAAGCAUUUCCAAACCAAGAAGAUUACCGAUUUCCUCAGGAAUUUGACCUGCACACAUGGUCGAAAAAUCAAGGUGUCAAACUACCUAUUUUGUUAGCAUAAGUCAAAGAGGUUUUCUUUUCUGUUCUACAGUAAUUUGAAGAUGUUAGAUUUUAAUAUAUU
rnacentral:lncRNA from 1 species